rnacentral:rRNA from 1 species
CGGGGGGAGCAAGCGUUGUUCGGAUUUACUGGGCGUAAAGGGCGCGUAGGCGGCCACCGCAAGUCGACUGUGAAAUCUCCGGGCUUAACCCGGAAAGGUCAGCCGAUACUGCGGGGCUAGAGUGCAGAAGGGGCAACUGGAAUUCUCGGUGUAGCGGUGAAAUGCGUAGAUAUCGAGAGGAACACCUGCGGCGAAGGCGGGUUGCUGGGCUGACACUGACGCUGAUGCGCGGAAGCUAGGGGAGCGAACGGGAUUAGAUACCCCGGUAGUCCUAGCCUUAAACGAUGAAUGCUUGGUGUCUGGGGUUUUAUAGUCCCCGGGUGCCGUCGCUAACGCUUUAAGCAUUCCGCCUGGGGAGUACGGUCGCAAGACUG